CAACACGUAUCCAACCUGCCGUCUACUCUUGGACAGCCUUCUGAAAGGAAGAUUAAUACAAGAUGGCAUCAUGAGUCCGCAUGUUCACAUGAUUAAAGGUAUUCCGGUAGACGAUGGGGAUGCGUUCCAUUAGAUAGUAGGCGGGGUAACGGCCCACCUAGUCUUCGAUGGAUAGGGGUUCUGAGAGGAAGGUCCCCCACAUUGGAACUGAGACACGGUCCAAACUCCUACGGGAGGCAGCAUG
rnacentral:rRNA from 1 species